ACAACAUUCAUAAUUCCAUGGUGUUCAAUUUUUGGAGAGAGAAAAAUAGAGAGAGAAAAUUGUUUUUCUUGAAUUUUCAACUGUUCGGUUCAAGAAUUGGUUUUUGAUUUAAUUAAAAGAAGGUGCCCACCCACCGGUGCAAUCUUGACUUUGGAGAAUGCCACAGAAGACUUGGAGGUUGGAAGCAUCAAGUUCUUGGAAUUAAAAAGCUGGAAGUUCGUGAUCCAAAAGGCUGGAAAUUCGUGAUUCAGAAUUAAUUUAAGAAUUGAUCGUCGAAUUUAGGUAAAAAUUCGAAUUCAUUAUUUUUGAUAUAAUAUGCACGUGAACAUCUAGAAGAUUUUGUUUUUGAAUUAAAGAAAUUUUUAAUUUCUGACUAAUUCCGCUUCCGCAUUCCAACAUUUAGAAAUUUGAAUAUGGGUGCUCUUUCUUAUGGCCAGAAAUCUCAAUCCUUAUUUUCACGUUCUUACUGUGACCAGAGAUCCCAGCCAACGUCUUCUUCUCCAACUCGCUGUGUUGUUGAAACGAUUUUUUCCAAUGAUUUUGGUAUAAAGUUCAUUAUUUUUACCUAAUUUUUUUUGUUGUGGGUUCAGAAAUCUGAUUACCGGUGUUUUUCUAUGACCAUAAACCCCAGUUGACAUCUUCCUCUCGGUGACACUACUUUGUCUACGCAGUUUUUUUUCUUUUUUUUUGGCUGAAAACCCGUAGCUGCUACCUUCGAGUGCAUAUUGGAUAAAUUCUCGAGUUGACACAAUAGCCUGUAAGCUACGCCAGUCAGGUAAAUCGUACUAGGCAAGUCCUGGGCGACAAGUUCGACCACUAAAGUAUUGAUAGGGAGAAUCGAAUUCGUGACUAAAAGUUUUCGCACUCACCUACUCCACAAACUCGACUACCCUCAUGAGAGGCUGUCUAUGCAAUUUUAUUUUGGUCAAUUUGUGGUGUAAAGCUUAUGUUUGUUUCCUUUUUACAAUGGGUUGAGAAAUAUGAAUAUAAGACUUCGUAAAGUUUUAUUGCGCGAUAUUGACAUUUUUAUUAUUGGAUAAAAAAAAUUAUGUCUUUCACUUCUCUUUAUUUUCCAUAUCUUGAUCUAGGUUCUUUAUCUCUUAUACAGUGA
rnacentral:lncRNA from 1 species